rnacentral:rRNA from 1 species
GACAGGUGCUGCAUGGCUGUCGUCAGCUCGUGUCGUGAGAUGUUGGGUUAAGUCCCGCAACGAGCGCAACCCUUGCCUUUAGUUGCCAGCAGUUCGGCUGGGCACUCUAAAGGGACUGCCGGGUGUUAAACCGGAGGAAGGUGGGGAGUGACGUCAAGUCCUCAUGGCCUUUAUGACCAGGGCUACACACGUACUACAAUGGCCGAUACAAAGGGCAGCGACACUGCGAGGUGAAGCCAAUCCCGUAAAAAUCGGUCUCAGUCCGGAUUGGAGUCUGCAACUCGACUCCAUGAAGUUGGAAUCGCUAGUAAUCGUGGAUCAGCAUGCCACGGUGAAUACGUUCCCGGGCCUU